rnacentral:rRNA from 1 species
UGAAUACGAGACGCUAAGGCGUCGAAGUAGUGUAUGUCAUACUUCCAAGAAAAGCUUGCACUGUCAUAGAUAAAAAACGCCUGUACCAUAACCGACACAGGUGGGUAGGUAGAGUAUACUAAGGGGCGCGAGAUAACUCUCUCUAAGGAACUCGGCAAAAUAACUCCGUAACUUCGGGAGGAGGAGUGCCUUAUUAUUAAGGCUGCAAUAACAAGAUCCAAGCAACUGUUUAUCAAAAACACAGGUCUCCGCUAAGUCGUAAGACGAUGUAUGGGGGCUGACGCCUGCCCAGUGCCAGAAGGUUAAAGAAGUUGGUUAGCAUUUGCGAAGCUGAUAACUGAAGCCCUGGUGAACGGCGGCCGUAACAAUAACGGUCCUAAGGUAGCGAAAUUCCUUGUCGGGUAAGUUCCGACCCGCACGAAAGGCGUAAUGAUUUGGAUACUGUCUCGGAGAGGGGCUCGGUGAAAUAGACUUGUCUGUGAAGAUGCGGACUACCUGCACCAGGACAGAAAUACCCUAUGAAGCUUUACUGUAACUUGAAAUUGAAAUUGGACUUUAUUCGCGCAGCAUAGGUGGGAGGCGUUGAUUAUAAUCUUGUGGGAUUAUUGGAGCCAUCAGUGAGAUACCACUCUUGUAAUGUUAGAUUUCUAACUUUGAAUCAUUAUCUGGUCAAAGAACAGUUUCAGGCGGGCAGUUUGACUGGGGCGGUCGCCUCCUAAACGGUAACGGAGGCGUACAAAGGUUUCCUCUGAACGGUUAGAAAUCGUAUCUAGAGUGUAAAGGCAUAAGGAAGCUUGACUGUGAGACCUACAAGUCGAGCAGGGACGAAAGUCGGUCUUAGUGAUCUGACGGUACUGAGUGGAAAGGCCGUCACUCAACGGAUAAAAGUUACUCUAGGAUAACAGGCUGAUCUCCCCCAAGAGUUCACAUCGACGGGGAGGUUUGGCACCUCGAUGUCGGCUCAUCGCAUCCUGGGGCGGUAGUACGUCCCAAGGGUUGGGCUGUUCGCCCAUGAAAGCGGUACGCGAGCUGGGUUCAGAACGUCGUGAGACAGUUCGGUCCAUAUCCGGUGUAGGCGUUAGAAUAUUGAGAGGAGCCUUCUUUAGUACGAGAGGACCGAGAAGGACAUACCUCUGGUGUACCAGUUAUCGUGCCAACGGUAAACGAUGGGUAGCUAUGUAUGGAGUGGAUAACCGCUGAAAGCAUCUAAGUGGGAAGCCCACCUCAAGAUAAG